AAAAAGACAAACCCUGAUUUUCGUGUCUAACGUUUGACCGUCCGUCUUAUUUGAAAAAAUUAUAAAAAAAUUAAAAAGACAAGUCACGCAUAAAAUAUUAAUUAUGGUUUAUCAUCUAACAACAAUAAAAAUACUAAUUAUAAAAAAAUUUUAUAUAAAACGGACAGUCAAAGUUGGACACAGAAAUCCAGAGUUUGCUUUUUU
rfam:Oryza sativa Japonica Group DNA, chromosome 2, cultivar: Nipponbare, complete sequence.